GAUGAACGCUGGCGGCGUGCCUAAUACAUGCAAGUCGAGCGAACAGAUGAGGAGCUUGCUCCUCUGACGUUAGCGGCGGACGGGUGAGUAACACGUGGAUAACCUACCUAUAAGACUGGGAUAACUUCGGGAAACCGGAGCUAAUACCGGAUAAUAUAUUGAACCGCAUGGUUCAAUAGUGACAGACGGUUUUGCUGUCACUUAUAGAUGGAUCCGCGCCGCAUUAGCUAGUUGGUAAGGUAACGGCUUACCAAGGCAACGAUGCGUAGCCGACCUGAGAGGGUGAUCGGCCACACUGGAACUGAGACACGGUCCAGACUCCUACGGGAGGCAGCAGUAGGGAAUCUUCCGCAAUGGGCGAAAGCCUGACGGAGCAACGCCGCGUGAGUGAUGAAGGUCUUCGGAUCGUAAAACUCUGUUAUUAGGGAAGAACAAAUGUGUAAGUAACUAUGCACGUCUUGACGGUACCUAAUCAGAAAGCCACGGCUAACUACGUG
rnacentral:rRNA from 1 species